AAGAAGUGUCCCUUUUCGUUCGCACCCUGCCCAUGGAAAAAUUCAUGAUCGCGCUCGCUACUCCCCCCAUUGCACAUGCUGCUUUUCAUCCCUCUCUUGGUUUCUACUUCCCUGCCUCAAGAGGCCCAUGGCCUCCAUACAGUCGUCGUCUCCUCUUGCCAUUGGUAUCUUCCAAGCAACAAUGGUGUUUAUCGGUGCUUCGCGGGUCUUGAAUGAUGUUGAAGAUAACGUUUUUUGAGGGAUCUCAUAUUUUUAUUAGUUCAUGCUCGAAUUACAAUUAGUUGAUUUCUCCAUGAUGAUUAUAUCUAUAGCAUCCAUAUUCUUUUU